UACGGAGGGGACUAGCGUUGUUCGGAAUUACUGGGCGUAAAGCGCACGUAGGCGGCUUUCUAAGUCAGGGGUGAAAUCCUGGAGCUCAACUCCAGAACUGCCUUUGAUACUGGGAAGCUCGAGUCCGGAAGAGGUGAGUGGAACUCCGAGUGUAGAGGUGAAAUUCGUAGAUAUUCGGAAGAACACCAGUGGCGAAGGCGGCUCACUGGUCCGGUACUGACGCUGAGGUGCGAAAGCGUGGGGAGCAAACAGG
rnacentral:rRNA from 1 species